GUGGGUUUUAAUAGCCAUAAUGUCUUAUUAAUCUUAUCUUUACAUUUUUAAUGCUUCCAGUUAUCUUUCUUUUGGUAUGUGGAAUUUUUUAAAAGUUUGUCAAUUGCAAUUUGGGCAGUAUACAGCUUGUUCUUAUUUUACUAGGAUGCUUCAGAAUAAAAUGUUUAAAUGUAGUUUUACAAACUCUGGAAAUAAAACCACAUCCACUGGAUUCUCACCAACUCACUAGCAGUGAGCCACUCUCUGUACUCCUUCUGCAUUGGUCUAACUUCCUGUCUCUUGUUUCUGCACCUGUACAGUUUUUAUGGCUUUACUCCAUGGUUUUCCCCUUUCCAGAAUGUCUAUUCCUCUUACUGCAGUCACUGUGAAUUUUCAACUUUCUGUAUCUUCAAAACUCAAGCCUCAUCAAUCUUUUAAUCUGAUCUUUUUGUUUUAUCCUAUCCCAAAGCUUGAAGAAUGUCUGCACCAGAGAGAAUAGCUGUGGUAAAACACAGUAGCCCCCUCCAUCUACGGAGACUUUUCAAGAUCCCUGGCGGAUGCCUGCCUGAAGCCACAGGUUUCAUUUCCAAUCAAAAAACCAUGUGGAGCGAAUUCUCACCAGACUCUGUGUUUAUGGAACAGUACAGAUACAACCUGACAGUUUCCUUCUGAAGACAACCAGUGGGUCACACAACUAUGAUUUCACACAAGCAGACUGCCAAAAAAGCCAACACAUCCUGCCAGUAGUGCUGUCCCAAAUGGCCACCUGCCAGC
rnacentral:lncRNA from 1 species